GAAUAUUGGACAAUGGGGGGAACCCUGAUCCAGCCAUGCCGCGUGUGUGAAGAAGGCCUUUUGGUUGUAAAGCACUUUAAGCGAGGAGGAGGCUACUCUAGUUAAUACCUAGGGAUCGUGGACGUUCCUCGCAGAAUCAGCAACGGCCCACUCUGUGCCAGCAGCCGCGGUAAUACAGAGGGUGAUAGCGGUAAUGGGAUUUACUGGGCGUAAAGCGCGCGGAAGUGGACAAUUAAGUAAAAUGUGAAAUCCCCGAGCUUAACGUGGGAAUUGCAGGCGAUACUGGUUGGCUAGAGUAUGGGAGAGGAUGGUAGAAUUCCAGGUGUAGCGGCGAAAUGCGUAGAGAUCUGGAGGAAUACCGAUGGCGGAGGCAGCCAUCUGGCCUAAUACUGACACUGACGUGCGAAAGCAUGGGGAGCAAACA
rnacentral:rRNA from 1 species